UAAGUAAGAUUAAAUUAGAUUCAUAUUAAGACUGAGUUAGUCCAUCCUGAGGAUAUGUGAUAUGUCCUUAUUCUUGUCUCCUGUUUCCUUACUCUUCUACGAUUCGAUAACUUGACAUUAUUGAUCUUAUUUGCGAAAGCCAAGCAAACAGCACAUGGAACUCGAUAUACCCUCGAAAAGCCGUGUGCAGAGGUAUUGAAAUGAAAAUGAGCAAAUGUAAGCACACUGUCUCUCGCACUUUCUCCCUCUCUCGCACUUUCUCCCUCUCUCUCGCUUACUCUCUUAUAUAGCCGCCUGAUCCCGGCGCUGCUUCAUAAAUUCAAAUUUGAUUUUCAUGUUGAUUAUGAUGCGAGCGCUGCGCAGAUGAUGAUGGACAUGAAGAUGGCGAAUGGCAGUCGAGGUCUCGGAGACGGAGCCACAAUCAGAGCCAUAGGCACACUCACUUACACACACACACACUCCAUCCUGAUUGCGUGUGCGUAAGUGUGUGUGUGGUGACUCUGUUGCUUGUGCUUUGCAUGCCACUUGGAUUUUUAUUCAAGCUUUUCUCCCUUAUCAUCGCGUCGCGUCGCUUGCUUUUACGUUUACGUUUGCGUUUACGACUCGAACGCAACUUGCGAAUUGAACUAGCCUGUUUUGCCGGCAAAGAGCCUUUAUAUGUUUUGGCCCAGAAGUGUCGUAUAUAUGAGUGCGUAUGUGGCCUACUAUGUACUACUAAACAGAACAGAACCGUCAAAUGUCUCAUUUCGCAGAAAUCGAUUAUUAAGUGACGUACGAUGAUUAAGUGGCUCCACAAUUCCCCCCAACUUAAUGCGCUCGUAAUUAAUGUAGGGCAGUGGACUAAUACCUUUUGAUGGCUUCCUCACAUUAAUGCUGCAUAACAAUAAUGAUUACAAUGUGGAGUUACAAUGCUUCGAGCAUUGUAACCCUUUAAAGUAAAGUGCACAGCUAGUCGUUUUUAAAGAAUGGCAUCUAACAUAUAUUGUUGCCCACUUUUAUUAGUAGUUUCGAAAUAGUUCACUCACGCAUUUAGCAUGCGAUAUACGACAAAGAUUCGAUUGAAAACUUUACGACUUUGCGACUGCAACCAAUUUGGUGAUUCAAGGACGCCACUUAAGCCCAUUCCCAUGGCCAUACGCAUGACAUAUAACAUUUCGCAAUCUGCGAAAUCCUCCUCCUUGCAGCUGCAAAUGGCCGGAGCAAGACAAUCAAAGGCGGCCAUCAAGUCAACUGACUUUAUUACACUCCAGUCCUCCAGUUGCCUCGUUAGAGCGGUUAAUGCCCAAAAGCGAUGACAGCGCUGCAUUGCCAUCUCGAUCGCCAGCUCUAUCUGGCAUGCAUCCAUGUGCAUUUGGUGUCCUCCAUCCCGCAUCAAGCCACCAGUAUCCAGUAACCAGCAUUCUGCAUCCAGCAUUUGCAUUCUGCGUUCUGCGUUCAGCAUUCUGCAUCCACCAUGUGCCCUCCAAUCGCCUCCAUUUCCAGGCCAAUACCGCCAAUGCCAUUGCACUUGGCCGAAUGACACAAAAACAAAAGCGAAUGACUGGCGACAUAUGGACGUCAUCGUCAUCGUCAUCGUCGUCCUCGUCCUCGUCGUCGUCGGCGGCGUUGAAAGGGUGAGUCCACCGCCAUAACAAUGCGACUGGCGGCAUCUGUUGGCGACACAUCCCGUCCGAUUUCCAUCCGUAUCCGGAAACCCAUUCCCAUAUACCCAUAUACCCAUUCCCAUUCCCAUUCCCAUACCCAUGUCCAUUCUCCUGGCCACAUUCACUUGGAAAAGCCAAAGACAAAGGACAAAAGACGCCGUUCGCCAUGUACCACGCACCACUGUUAAACUCAGCCGUAAAACUCUCAUUCUCAAUUACAAUUGUAAUUGUAAAAGGCAAUAAUUUGGCGCAGGCGAGUUGCAUGAAUCCACAACCAUUCGCCACCGCACCAUUCCCAUUCCCUCAAUCCACGCGAGGAGUAUCCCCAAUGCAAUGCCACACAAAAGUUGUGCCAUUAUUCUCGCAAAACUAAAAGUACACAAAGGUACAGAAAUCCCUGGCACCUGCAAGACUGGAAGUGUAGAUUCUCUUCUUCGAUAUUUUCGCUUAACACUCACUUUUCAACCCACUGAAAAGUUUUAAGUGCCUAAAGAGUACAUCUUUUCAAUCAAUUCAUCAAUCUUCUAUAUGCAUUUCCUAUCACAUAGAAUAGUUGUCGAUCAGCAGCGAUUUAGGCAUGUAAAUGGAAUGGGAAAGAGUGUCCCGUUUCCGGUUUGGCAUUACGGACGCAGUUUUCCGGGCUGACCAACAGGUGGAUGUCGGGUUGCAGUGUCAUAACAACCAGCCGAGAGGAUGCGAUGAAAAUGGGGGGGAAAAUGCGGGGAAAAUGCGGGGAAAAUGGUGGAAAAUGGAUGGCGGGAAAAGCGAAACUUCGGCCAAAUGGCGAGUGGUGACGGGUGCGUAGCGGUUGUUAUUGAAAUUUUUCGAGCGUAUGCUGUCGAUUGGGUGACAGAGCCAGAGUCGGAAAACAACGUGGGGGCGAGGCAGCUGCGAGCCCAUUAAGUAUGCAACAAAUUGCAGUCAGGACAUCCAGGACAGCCAGUGGAGUCAGGACAUCCAGUACAAUCAGGACGGACAGGACACGCCGGAAGAGCAAGGAUAUCGGGGACAUCAACAAUCAAAUGGCCGCAGCUGGAAUGUAAUGAUAGGUGUUCGAGGAAUUUCGCAAUGAGAAAAUUGCCAAUCGACGGCGGCAACGAAGGAGUUCUCCACCAAAGCCACCAAAGUGGCGACAUUAAAGCCGUAAGUGCACAAGGACCUUGCUCAGAUUCAGAUUCAAAAUGUGAGAGAAAAGUAAAACGAAGAACCCUUUUUUUUUGUUUUUUGUGGCAUGCAUGUAUGUAUGCGAGCCCUCAACUAAGAAAAAUGACGCCGCACUGUACCUAAAAAUGGAAUCGAAUUGAUCAACUGGGAAUGCUCUGCACUCCGUCUAUGCCACGCCCACUGCCGCCCACGGCAGCCCCUUUCAAGUGCACUUGGGUAAUAUAUUUAUACAAAUGUGAUAAAGUGGAGUCUCCUCCACGCAAACCAAAACAAGUGGGUGGCAAAAAGAGAGAGAGAGAUAGAGAGAGAGGGAGAGAUGUUGGCCGCCGCAGAAGGCAACAAAAUUCAAUUUACUAUGCGCGCUUUAUGGCCGAUUCCAGCCGUGUGUUUGUGUGUUUGGCCGAAAGCCGAGCAAACAGCACCCACCGCCCACCGCCCAGCAACACCCACCCACCCAUGAAAUGAAUCGCUGUUUAUGGGCAGCAGAGCUUGGCCAGUUGGGCCGCUGCCCCGCAGACAGAAGUAAUUACAAGUGUUUGCUUAUUAAGUUCCAUGGCUCAUUAGGCGGCUGGCGAGGAAGGGCGCGUGAGCAGCAGAGCAGCAAUCACCAUGUGAUCUACCAAGGUACGGCCUCCACUGCCCACUGCCCACUGCUCACUGCCCACCACCAAUCCACCAGGCUGGACAAAGGACGAGCCAGGAGAUAGAGGAGAACGGUGGUCACCGCGGGCCAUCGACACCGCAUUAAGGCAAACAGGAUGGCAGGAAAACAGGACAUAGACAUGGCCAUGGACAUGGAGGAGCAACAGGCCGCUUAAGCCAGCCUCGCAUUAUCUAAUUAUCAGUCUUAGUGCGGGGCUUACUGUACUAAUUUUUCGGCCAUCAGCCGGUAAGUCCCACGACCUCUGACCCCUGGCGGUCAUACCGGAUGAUGGAAACCUUCAGCAAGGUGAUGAAAAGUGUUUGCCUUUCGUGUGUUGCAUACACUUUUCAGGCAAAGUGUUUGCCUUACGUGCCAUACAUAUGGAUAUUACUGUGAAUGCAUGUAUUGAAUUAUACAAAAGAUGAAAAACCCAUUUAAAGUAAUUAAUGUAAUAGGCUCGGUGCCACUUACAUUGGCUGCAAAAGCUUCAAGUUCCUUGCUACUCACUCAUUAGGCGAUCCCUCCAAUGGGGCAACUAAUCGAGCUGCACAUCCUGCACUGCGAGCAGACAUCCCAGGGAUUCAAAGUUUCGGGGGCCAGGUCAUUUGGGUCCGUCACCUAAUCUCAUUCGCUUUGUCCAUUUCAAUUUUCCUUCGUCAGGCGCCGCACUUUUCACCUCCGCCUCUCGUUUUCCGCCAGAAGGCUGCCAACUUGACCCUUUUGUCAGUCCGUUUCGUAUCGUUUGAUUUUUUGGCCACCAUUCGGGAUUUUCCCUUUGGCUCCUUUUCCGUGCCCGUCCGUCUGCCAAUUACCAAUUAAGCUUUGCUUAAAGCCCAAUUAAUACCCUCGCUCUGAUUACCCGCCCACCGUCAUCGGUGCCCAUCAUCAAUGCAAUUAUUGACAACAAAGCUCGGCGCUGUGCCAAAUCCCAGAAUGCCAGAAUCCCUGAAUGCCAGAAUGCCAGGAUGCCAGGAUGCCAGGACCUCCAAUAAUGCCAGCCAGAAGGGGUAAUCGACUAACUGGGCACUCCAAGUCAGCCACGUACAUUGGAGAAUCGACACAUGGCGUUGGGGGCGGCCAGUGGGUUGUCAUUGGAUGAUUCGUUGUGGUUUAGAUGAUCGGAGGAGGUGGGAGGUGGCGAGAAGCGGACGACAGACAUUCCGGCCGCAGACCAGCAAUUACACCUCGCCCACUGGCGGCCAUCCCCGGAGAUUGCCCCUCCGGAGAGACUCCCCCCUGCCCCCUGCAGUCCACAUGGCCCCAUGGACUCUCCCGGCUGCCCGUUCAAUCGGAGGCCCUCGAGCACUUGGACAAAACACUCGAGCGCCGCUCGACAGGCGGCGGUGCAAUUUUUUUCAUUCAAUGUUUCCCUCCAGGGCCAGUCAACAAAUGUCCCGCCCACGCUGUCACGCCCCCUUGCCAUGGCUGCGUCAUUAGGGAAAGCGAAAAAAAAGGAAAAAAAGAAAAUGUGGAAAAGAAACGGAAAGGGAAAGAGAAGGGAAGGGAAGAGAUUUGCACAUGAGAUCGAAGAUUGGGAUAUCCUGUAGGUGAAGCUAUUUGCGUUAGCAGCUGAAAAUUAACUGCUGGUGUGGUUGAGAUUUAGUUAAGUACUUUGGGGCAAGCCAAACAUUUUCUGAAUACAGACCUGUUCCUAAAGAAAUUAUGGUUUUUCUUAUGAUAUCCUGGUAAUCCUGUAGAGCAAAAGUGAAAACCUAACGAUUGAGCAGAGUCUUGAGUGUUUUAUGUGACUCUACUUAACUUGACAAUUAAAAUUCGAAUUCUUUGCAGUUUCAAAAAUCACGGCAUCGCUUUAAGGAGCGCCAUAAUAUGUUUUCCUUCAUUUGGAAACGGAAAAUACCCGCAAUUUGCAGGAGCUCCAAGAUGGAGGAGUCGCCGUGCCGCAAAAUGCGCCGCCGGCGGGGAAUCGUUUUUGUUUCUGAAGUUUGCCCAACUGGAGCAUCGCGACGAGCAAUGCCGGAGAUCCGGAGGCGCUGGAGGAGCUAUGGGCUACGGGAAAGCCACCCCCAGAUGCUCGGACUUGGAGCGGCGAUGCAGCGAGGAGCGAAGGCGGCCCGGCAACCUGGCCAACAACUUGGGGCGACUUUUUGCACUCAUUUCGCACGUUCAAACAAUGGAAGUGUGUAGGUGCGCGGCAAGGGGGGAAAAGUAAUUGGUGGACCAGGACGCAGGACAUGGCCCCGGGAUGAGGAAGUAGCUGGCGCAAGGAACCAACUCUGGCUGGCACACGCGUCUAAACGGCGGUGCAAAAUUGGGAGCCAGGCGACGAGAUUUCAAACCAGUUUAAACCCCAAAAAGCAGCCCAUAAAUAUUAUAUUUACUUAACAUCUAUGCAGCAUAAUCGCAUCUCUGGAAAAACUCACUCACAUUCAAGAAGUCCUGCGCUGCGUUCGCUUUCAUCUUUGUCGGCUGGCUGUUUGUGGAGAUACUUGGAUAGCUGCUGGGUUUUCGACUGGCAAAACUGCGGGAAAACUGAAGGGAAGCAUUUUUUCAAGGAUACCGUAAAGGAUCAAGGAUCAUGUGGGUAAAUGGCUUUCCAGGUAACUUUCACUGGCGUUUCCAGGAGCCUUUCCUACCUUGUACCAAAAAGCAAUUGCACUGACACGCUGACUCAUGGACGGCAAUUUCAAAAGGAAUUUGAAAUCGAGCUGGGAACAACAAAUGCAACAAAAACAACAGAAACAGCAAGAAGUGCAACAACAAGAAAAGCGGCAGCAAUUGCAAUCAUUUACAUAAAAAACAAUGCAAGUGGAGUAAAAUUAAGCAAAUAUAAAUAAAAUGCAUUGCUCAAAAAACAUCAACUGGAAAAUGAAAUGGAAACGUGUGGGCAGCAACAAGGCAUAUACUACCACACAAAUGUAUGUAUGUAUGUGAAUGUAUGAGCAUGUGUGUGUGUGGGCAGCAUAAUGCACAUGUGGAAAAUGAAAUCAAAUGCAAUAAAAUGCUCUGAUAUGUUGCGAUGUGUAACAGAAACUAGCCGGCAAGAUAAUAAAACAAAAUGAACCCAGAAUGGGAAUCAUAUAAAAUGAAACCGAACCAAAUUGCAUUUGCAAUCCCAUCCGGAUCAUACAUAUGUAUGUGUAUAUAUAUUCUAUAUAGCCGACUGAAUUUGCCAUGGAAAUAGAAGUGCACGGGAAUAAGCGAGCUGACCAACAGCUUUCUGGCCAUAAGAGUUGGCCUAAUGACUUCAUUCCCGGCCCAAAGUGUUGACUAAAGCACAUCAGCUGCUUACGAGUGAUUAUCCAUUGCGAAUUGGAUAGAAAAUUUAAAGAAAUCAUGAUAAUAACUCGUACGAUUUCAUCGAUGGCAAAAUUAAAGAAACCAAAGAAUUGAUGAUGAAUUUUAAUAGAAUGAUUUCAUUCGCAUUGAAUAAACAUAAUGCAGGCGGCGCUUGAAAUGCAUUGCACAUGCAGUUGUUCACUUCAAUUCACAUUCACAUUCUUCGCGGAAAUUUAAAUGGAAAUUGGGCGGAAUAUGUAUAUACAUUUGUACAUAUGUAUGUAUAGUAUAUCCUUCGCUUGCCUCGCUUCUGCGACGUUCUGCCAUCAAUAUCGCAGCAUAAAUAUUUACAUGCUGCCGAGAACGCGAAGAAACAAACAAACUUUAUUUUUGGGCAGCAGGAAACAAGUGCAAUCCCUUGCCCUUCUCCUUUCCACACCCCCUUUCUUCAACCCUUUCUCCGCCGCUUUCGCCGUCCACCUUUUGCGCUUUCUUCGCUGCCGCUUGACAAUGUAAGCUCAAACAAUUUCAUUUCCAAGCUGGCGCACUCACUCACAGAUACUCGCACACACGCAAACACACACACACAAACACACGCAUAACGGUACAUUAAUUGAUAAUUGUUUUGUGCUCAAAAGAAAUUAAAGAGCAGAAGCUGCCCUCUCGCUUCUCCACUCCCUCGUUUCCCUGCUUUUUCUCCUCUCUCCCCAACCUGCACCCCUUUCUCUCUUUCUCCACCCUUUCUCCCCACCUUCCCCUCACGCCUCAUUACACUGCAGAUGUAUUGCGAACACAGGAGACAGACGGAAGUAAAUAAAACGCGAGUCGACAGCCAAGUGAAAAGUCUCUACAGUGGAAAAAGCAUCAAGAAUACUUAACAAAAAACCGAAAAUAUCUGCAAAUAUGCGCUUUGUAUUUCAUUAGUGAGAUGUUGUCAUAGCUGGAAAUAUGAUUUCAAGUUUAUAAAUACAUGGUUUGGCUCCUUCUGGUUUCUCUCAGUGCAUUGUGUUUCGCGUUUCCUAAUACAAUCUGCACAAACUCUACGUUUUCCUUUUUGUUUUUGCGCUGUGCUCCUCGCUCUUUUUUCAUUAACUUUUUGCGUUUGCUGCUUGUUUCAGACAUGUUCUAUGUGCCACGCCCCUUCGCCGCCCCGCGGCCAACUUAAUUGAACGAUUAGUUUUUGUACGUGGACCACGCCCACAGCGGCGUGGCAGCAGGUGCCGCCCACAAAUCGCCCCCUCAGCUCAGUUCCCUCGAUUUUGAAACAUCCGGAUUUUCGCUGUCCAUCGUGGGUCACUUUUUAAUUUUAUCUGCUACGUUUUGCCUUUUAUUCUCGUUUUUAUCGCAACAGCAAGCAAACUAUGUACUACCAUUUGCCACGCCUCCCGUCCCGCCGCCCCUCGAGAGGGGCUGAAAUGGGCGAAAAGGGGGGAAGAGGAAAGGGGGGUUGUCGAAGUGAGGAAGGGAAUGAAAAAGUCAAAUGCCAAGUCACUAAAAAGUCAAAAGGCCACAAAGAAGCAGCGACAACAGCAAGUUAUAGUAAUGACAAUCUACUGGCCGAGCAAGAGGAAGCGGGAUAGCAUGCGGGGUGGGAGCGAUAGAGAGCGAGAGGGAGUGAGAGGGAGGUGCGAAAGAGAGCGGUAGAUGGGCACAAAAGUUAAAAUAAAUAAAACAAAGCGAACGCAUGAAAUGACACAACAGAGACAAAGGAAGCUGCCGAAAAGGGGCUGCUAGGAGGAUGAUAAGGGGGUGACAAGGGGGAGGGGUAGCAGGGGGUGUUAAAGUACCGCCCCCAAACAACAAAAACAACACCGCCCACCCACCAAGCAGCAGCAGCUGGGCGACAAAUCGUGGCCGAACGACACGAGAACCCGCCUAAAAAUGACAGCAAACGUGGCAAGAUGUGGCGCUCCAACAUAUACACUGGGAAAAUACAGCCAUGGAAAUCAUUCAAGAAUUUAAAUAACUCAAAAAUGCCUCGAAAAUUAUGCAACAUUU